rnacentral:rRNA from 1 species
GUGUCAGCCGCCGCGGUAAUACGGAGGAUGCAAGCGUUAUCCGGAUUCAUUGGGUUUAAAGGGUGCGCAGGCGGAAUUGUAAGUCAGUGGUGAAAUCUUCCGGCUCAACCGGGAAACUGCCAUUGAUACUGCCAUUCUUGAGUACAGUUGAAGUGGGCGGAAUGUGUCAUGUAGCGGUGAAAUGCUUAGAUAUGACACAGAACACCGAUAGCGAAGGCAGCUCACUAAGCUGUAACUGACGCUCAUGCACGAAAGCGUGGGGAUCAAACAGGAUUAGAAACCCUGGUAGUCC